UGGACAAAAUUGUGCCGAAUAAAACGUUUGGGUCAAUUUUGUAAAUCCCAGAAAAUAGUGGGGGAGAGUGUCUUUGACAUUCGCUUCUCAUUUGUGUUCGCUGCAAUGGUGGGCGAUGGCCAGAGACCAACUCAAGCUCCUCCAAGGUUGGAGCUGUCGCGGCUAUGGUCAGAAAACCCUUGAGAUGUAACCCGACAAGGAUUCAAUCCAACGGUGGAGAAUCACUCACGGCAAAACUAGAAGAAAACAUUACUAUAGAUAUUACCAAACAGGGGCAUUCACCAAUCUAAAGCUGCAUGUUUGAGACCGAAAUCUCUAAUCUUCUUCUUCCCGAUCAUUAUCCAAGCGUUUUCAUAGUG